GUCUAUGGGAGUUUUAAAGAGAGCUGCUAAAUGGGACGCCUGCGCUCAUCAAAGUCAGCACACACAUUUACAAAGCUGUGAAUCCCAGCACCCGGGACCUUUGAAGAAGAGGUGUGGGUUUAUAGCGGACAGCUGUUUCUGUAAAGAGAAAAAGCUGGCACCACAGGAGGACAGAUAAGGCCUGUAAUUGGCCAGAUCUACAGAAUGGAGGAGAAAGAGGGACUGGCAAGGCAGGUGUGUGCGCGCAUCUGGCCAGGACUACGCCACAAGAUACGCUCAAGUGAUUGACGUCGCAGGAUGCGCACGUGGGUGUACAGAAGCGCGUGCGGGGAGCAUUGCUGUGGAAGACCACCCAUCAAUCCGUCUACCCCACCGCCACACACGUGCAAACCUUGAGGUCACGCAGCUUUCAGACUCACACGCAGUAAACGUACCCUAUCCGCCACACGCCCUGCACCGGUCCAGAGGUACCUUUCCAAACCUAACAUGGAAAAUCACACUGUGGCUAUAAGACCAAAAAACACAGCUGAUUCAGGAUAGAUGAGUGUGCUUAUUCUGCGAACCUGUUUCAUGUCCAGUCAAGCCCACCGCAGA